rnacentral:rRNA from 1 species
UGAACGCUGGCGGCGUGCCUAAUACAUGCACGUCGAGCGAACAGAUGAGGAGCUUGCUCCUCUGACGUUAGCGGCGGACGGGUGAGUAACACGUGGAUAACCUACCUAUAAGACUGGGAUAACUACGGGAAACCGGAGCUAAUACCGGAUAAUAUAUUGAACCGCAUGGUUCAAUAGUGAAAGACGGUUUUGCUGUCACUUAUAGAUGGAUCCGCGCCGCAUUAGCUAGUUGGUAAGGUAACGGCUUACCAAGGCAACGAUGCGUAGCCGACCUGAGAGGGUGAUCGGCCACACUGGAACUGAGACACGGUCCAGACUCCUACGGGAGGCAGCAGUAGGGAAUCUUCCGCAAUGGGCGAAAGCCUGACGGAGCAACGCCGCGUGAGUGAUGAAGGUCUUCGGAUCGUAAAACUCUGUUAUUAGGGAAGAACAAAUGUGUAAGUAACUAUGCACGUCUUGACGGUACCUAAUCAGAAAGCCACGGCUAACUACGUG